GCUGAAGGCAGUGAAAGAGAGAUGUCCUUCAGGAAUGGCUGGGAUUGAGAAAGGGAGGGAAGACAGAGGCCAGUCCCAGGAAGAGAUUGGCUCCACAUUCUCCUGCCUUCACACAGAAGAAUUUGCACAGAUGAGAGCCUGCCCAUCUCCAUGUCUGCCCAGUGAAAUCCUGCCUCUCCUCUAAGCCAGCUCAGAUCUCACCACCUCCGUAGGAACCCCCAUGGGUAUCCUGUCGGAAGUCCACGUUCCCUCCUCUAGAAUGGCACUGGGUCCUAUGAAAUCUUUUACAUCAUCUGAUGAGCAGGAAUUCUCACAACCAACACAGAAGACAGAUGGGUGGUGUUUUGUCAUAAACCUCCGUCUUAGGUAUUGAGCAGUAUACUCAGCCAGCAUGAGAAAACUUUUUUCAACUUUCUUGGAGAUUUAGGAAUAAUAAAAUGC
ensembl:lncRNA